rnacentral:rRNA from 1 species
GCAAGUCGAGCGCGCCCUUCGGGGUGAGCGGCGGACGGGUGAGUAACGCGUAGAUAUCUACCUGGUAGUGGGGGACAACCUGGUGAAAACCAGGCUAAUACCGCAUACGCCCUACGGGGGAAAGCGGGGGAUCUUCGGACCUCGCGCUAUCAGAUGAGUCUGCGUUGGAUUAGCUAGUUGGUGGGGUAAAAGCCUACCAAGGCGACGAUCCAUAGCUGGUCUGAGAGGACGAUC